rnacentral:rRNA from 1 species
UACGUAGGUGGCAAGCGUUGUCCGGAUUUACUGGGCGUAAAGAGCGCGCAGGCGGUCGUGCAAGUCGCGUGUGAAAGCCCCCGGCUCAACUGGGGAGGGUCACGCGAUACUGUUCGACUCGAAGGCAGGAGAGGGAAGCGGAAUUCCCGGUGUAGUGGUGAAAUGCGUAGAUAUCGGGAGGAACACCAGUGGCGAAGGCGGCUUCCUGGCCUGUUCUUGACGCUGAGGCGCGAAAGCUAGGGUAGCAAGCGGG